UACGUAGGGGGCUAGCGUUGUCCGGAAUCAUUGGGCGUAAAGCGCGCGUAGGCGGCCCGGUAAGUCCGCUGUAAAAGUCCAGGGCUCAACCCUGGAACGCCGGUGGAUACUGUCGGGCUAGAGUCCGGAAGAGGCGAGUGGAAUUCCGGGUGUAGCGGUGGAAUGCGUAGAGAUCCGGAGGAAGACCGGUGGCGAAGGCGGCCUGCUGGGCAGUUACUGACACUGAUGCGCGACAGCGUGGGGAGCAAACAGG
rnacentral:rRNA from 1 species